UGGGGGGGGGGAACAGGGAGGGUGAAAACCACCCAGCGGAGCCGCCGGGGCGGGGAGGAAACCUGCGCCAGGAGCCACGUGCUGGAGCCGGCGCUGGGUGGGUGGCUCGGGGAGCGGUGGGGGAGGGAGAGGCCCUUGCUGGGAAAGGCCCCAGGCCACGUUUCUGGGGGAGGAGAAGAACCGCGGGUGGACACCCUGGGCCCCAGGCCACCAGGGAACCUUCACCUCCGUCUGGAUAAUGCGGCCCAGAUCUCUUUGAUGGGAGCAGCUCUGGCCAAGCCCUGCCUGCUUGGGGUUGGACCUGAAGAAAUGCACUGGCCUAACCUAAUUGCCUUUUCGGACCUCGGUGGGACGGCGCUGGGGCUGGGACGGGAGGCUCUCCCACCUCACACCCUUCAAAGGGGAUGUACGUCCAAGGGUCGAAGAAUUGGAGAGCCUAAGUAAACCCAGGGUGGUUGGCUGUCCAGGGAAGGUGGGGGGAGUCGUAGGAAGAAGAAAGGAAGCAUGCAAAAGAAGGAAGAAGCAUUUAAGCACGUGAUAAGGACAUAACUGCAGUCCUUGGAAAGGUGGAUUUCCUACUCCCUGGGAAUUUAAGCCAAAAUCCCCUCAGCAGAGAAAAUGGAUUAGCUGCAGGAAGGAAUGAGACACGUUGAGGAGUCUGGGCUGCUUCCGAGUGGAUGCUCAAGAAGGGCUAGAGACCCUUUAAGAAGCACCCACCUGCAGUGGCCUAAGUGGCACCUAGAAACUUCUUUAAACCCUUACGGUUUUUCCUGCCUAAUCAAUCAGGAAGGGAGAGGAGCCAGGAAGUCAAGGCAGCAAACCUCCACAGCUUUGCCAUGCUGUUCUUUCAAAGCCACAGCUCAACAAGUGAUGCCAGCCCAGGGAGGGGGUGUCGUCUGUGUCUCCUCUUGCAGGCGGAAGCAGCACCACAGCCGGGAGAACAAAACCCGUUUGGAUCUGUCCAGAGCUGUUUGUCAGUACUGCCUUCCAGGACCACGUGAGCUGCCUCUUGCCCCACGUGACCCUCAUUCAAACUCAGGGAGAACGAGAGCUCCCGGGCCCCUUCUCCUCGGACAGCCUAAUCCCACGUGUGCAGAUGGGUGGCUCAUUUCUGCCAGCUCAAAAUAA
rnacentral:lncRNA from 1 species